ensembl:lncRNA
GAGGAAUGCGCCGCCUUCACCGCGGCACGAGCGACCCGUCCCGACCAGAGCGCCGUCGUGGCGCUGCCGACGGGCGUAGGGCCCUGGGGGUGACGGUCUGGAGGGGGUUUUGCCGUCGCUUCCUCACGUUUGGGGUUCGGUGGCGUAAACGACCUUCUGGCGACGUGACCGGCACCGUGCACGUGCCUCAUGCCGCCCGCAGUGCGCGUCGGGCCGGGUGGAUGAACGUCGCUGCCGCCGUGAGGAUUAAUUACUCACGCUGCCUGAAGUGCUGUGGAAGAAGCUCAGCCAUUGCAAUACUUGGGGUUUCAAUAUGACCAAGCGUAUCUGUUGGGAAAUGCUUCCAAUCGCUAGGUGAUGCCAUUCGAGAAAUCAAAAGCUACCGGGAGUAAGUGAUGGUUGUGCAAAUGUGCGGAUGCUUGGUUACUUCUUCAGCGGCGUCCACUAAUUUGGGGAUGUUUUCAUCUCCGGAUGCCCAGUUGGAGUUGGCUCAUCAGGGCUUAUGUUUGUACGUAAGCCUCUGGUGGAUGUCACACAUGGAAGCCGUGGCUUCUUCAGCCGUACCGGCACAGCCGGGCACGCAGGCAGCGGGAUCCCUGUGGUCUUGGCCUUGGGGAACUACCAGACUGUUUUCUUCAUGCCAAAACAUUGGGUGUCAGCCCUACCGCAUGGAAAAGCACCUUCAAAUACAGCCAGGAGACUGAGUUCAUGAGCAGCACAGUAACACACAGCCGUCACACGUGAGAAAUGGUUGGCUUUCCAGUGGUGAGCCGACAGCACGCAUGAGUUUACCGGCGAGGAACCAGAGGUAGACCCAAUGGCUUUGUCAGCUCCCUUGUGCUGCUCACCUCUGCCCUCAGCAGCACUGUGCUGUUCUGUGACUGGCCUGAGAGAGAAGAGAAAGCGCCCUACGCUUUUCCAUCUCGAGUUGGUGGUGCAGUGGUACACGGUGCCCAAAGAGCUCUUUUCGUAACUCGUCGUCUUUCCGCCGGCUGUACAAGGAGCCGCUUCACUGGAUAAGAUUAAGUUUAUAGGACAUAAAAUCAGGCCAGCCUGUCCUUUGUGCCACGAGUUCUUAUUGUUUACUGGAUUCUGCACCGGGAACCAAGGUACGUACGUAAAGGUAUGUCAGAUAAGAGGUUGGCUGUGGGUUGAAGGCUAUUCACGUUCAGGGUUUUUCUGCUCUUCCACAGAGCAUCGAUGUCCAAACACGUGGGGCAGGCAGAGCUAAUGCUGUGAGGCUGCAGCAGGAGCUGGAGGCAUCCCCACAGGACGCUGUGUUUGGAUGACUCGGAGGCUGGGCUUUCCUGCUGUGUCCUGUGUGGGGCUUCCUUGGUGUUAUCUGCCCUCAGCUGUUUUAUCACAAACCUCGCGGUGUCGGCUCUUUUUUCUUUCAGUUUCAGUUUGGAGUUCUUUGCCAUUUCACAAAGGCUUGGCUUUUAAUUUUACUUUGUGCUUUUUUUUUCCCAGAACUGAAAUCUAGCAUCAGGAAGGACCAUCGCGUGUGUCAAAGAUGUCAUCAUUUCCAAGACAACCCCACGAAUUUCAAGCGAGGAGUUCAUGAACACCAUGCGUUACGCAUCAUCAUGUCUUCAUCACAUCUUCCAGAGGACGUGGAAGAAGACUAAGGGGCUUUUAGCCAUAAGUAUCAGCAUCUCAAAAGGCCUUUCUUUGUGUGUUUUAAAUUCUCAGUGACUGCUCUAUCUCAAAGAGGCUUCCUGUUACUUUGCAUGGUCUGCAGGACUGGGCGGGGGCUGUUGGCUAUUUUAGAGGCACCACAGAAAAUGUUCUUUGUUUAUAAGUUAAUAGACCCGCCUUAUUAAUCCUGCUUUUACAGUGCUUUCUGCAAAUGAAACCUGGAACGUGAGAAUCACAUCUUCACACUUUAACUGCCAGCCCCAGCAGUUAAAGUUUUAUGCAAAGCGAACUGUGAGCGUGUGGGCAGGGCAGUGCCCCCCAUGGAUUUGCUGGGUAUAACUGGGUGGUCCAAACCAGUGUGCUGCUUUGGGUGCGUGAGGAGCAGAGUCAGCAUCUGACCGAGUCCCAGAAGUCUGAAUGAACACACAAGACUGAUGGCUGCCCUACAAUCCUCUAACAGUGCCUUUGAAUGAUCCCAGUUCAGUUGGCACAGCUGUUGGCACAACAAGGCCAUUCCUGAGAAGGCACCGACAGGCAGAUGGACGCUCUGCUUUGUGCUGCGUGGUUUUGCAGUGUCUCUGGGCAGCUGAUGGAGCAAGGGUUUCACUGCCUCUGCUGUGUUCUCACUAAGGCGUUGCGGCAGCCUGAACUCAUCUUCCCUCUUGGAUCAUGUGUGGUAUCCUCCAUUAGUAACACUUUGCUCUGACAGGCGUCCUGCUGUGCACUGCAGCAGUCAGGGGCUAAAUAAUUUAUUUGGGAAGCAAGUUUUGUGCAUGGCUUGGAGAAGGGAGGAGGACAGGAAUAUUGCAACAGUGAACCAUGGGGUGGAUUUCAGCGGUAGCCUUGGAGAAACACAUUGUGCCCUAUGGUCUCUGAGCAUUGCGCUUUGCCAUCCAUUGUUUCAAAAUUGCUUUCUCUCCCAUAAUUAUCUUUACAAGAGGAGGCGGAUCCAAAGCAUUUGUUUGUGCUUUUUUGUUUUUUUUCUUUCAAGGUAGUCCAUUGAUUUCCAUUUCUAAUAAUAAGUGUGAAUAAGCAAAAGGAAAAAAAAAAAAAACACAGUAAUACGUUAGCUGGUAUUUAAAAUAGAGAGAACAGGUCUGUUUGCCACAGCACGCUCCGUAUGUGGACAUCAAAGUGUCUUACAGAGGUCAUAAUUCUCAUUUCAAAGAUGAGGAAGCAGAGGUGCAGGGGGAAGUGGCUGGCUUAGCCGGUCAGCGCCGGAGCUGGGCGAGAUCUCCAAACCUUCCCUCCCUUAAUCAGGAUGGUUCAGGUCCCAGGUGCAAUGAAGGCACCGUGACGCUGCAGGGAGAGCAGCAAACCAUGCAGCCAGCAAAGCCUGAUUUCCUUCUGUUCUGUCCAAGGCUUCUGUGAUGUUGGCCUUCGAUGGUGCAGUCAUGAGGUGCCAGUGGCCUUUCCCUCACCAAGGGCACUGAUGGAGUGUGGCUCUCCAGCUUUGUUGUCCAUUUCCCCCCAAAGUUUAAGGCACUUGAGAAUUUCUGAGCCUUUCUGUCAGGCAUGGUUGCUAUGAACCAGUGAGUCACAAAAAACGUGUGCUUGCAUGCAUACACCCAUGCAUGCACACACAGACCUAUAUCUUGGCAUUGCAACAUGAGGGA